UGGUUCUGGCAUCGAUGAAGAACGCAGCGAAAUGCGAUAAGUAAUGUGAAUUGCAGAAUUCAGUGAAUCAUCGAAUCUUUGAACGCACAUUGCGCCCCUUGGCAUUCCGAGGGGCAUGCCCGUUCGAGCGUCAUUAAAUCCAAUCAAGCCUGGCUUGGUGUUGGGCGUCGGGACCACCCCGCGCCUCAAUUUCGUCGGCAGCCCGUUGGCCCAAUAUUAACCGUGUUGUGACCUUUGUAUUUCACGCUUUGAGGGGCGGGCCACGCCGUUAAACGUUCAAUUCAAUUGAUUAAGGUUGACCUCGGAUCGGGUAGGAAUACCCGCUGA
rnacentral:misc_RNA from 1 species